rnacentral:rRNA from 1 species
UACGUAGGGGGCAAGCGUUGUCCGGAUUUAUUGGGCGUAAAGAGCGUGUAGGCGGCCAGCAGGUCAGCUGUGAAAACUCGAGGCUCAACCUCGAGACGUCGGUUGAAACCGUCUGGCUAGAGUCCGGAAGAGGAGAGUGGAAUUCCUGGUGUAGCGGUGAAAUGCGCAGAUAUCAGGAAGAACACCUAUGGCGAAGGCAGCUCUCUGGGACGGUACUGACGCUGAGACGCGAAAGCGUGGGGAGCGAACAGG